CGGAGUACAAAACUAAGACCCAGGUACAAAACUAAGAUCCCCCGAGGUACAAAACUAAGACCCGGGGAGGCCAAUUCCAAACUAAAAUUUUGAAGAAAAAUAUCAGAGUCUUAGUUUUGUACAAAACUAAGACCCAAUUCCAAACUGAAAUUUUGAAGAAAAAUAUCAGAGUCUUAGUUUUGUACAUCAGGGGAUCUUAGUUUUGUACGUACAAAACUAAGAUCCCCCGAGGUACAAAACUAAGACCCAAUUCCAAACUGAAAUUUUGAAGAAAAAUAUCAGAGUCUUAGUUUUGUACAUCAGGGGAUCUUAGUUUCCAAAUUCUGCCCCUCUUUCGAAUUCAUUUUGAUGUAGUAAUGUCACCUUUGAGAUGCAUGCAGUUGCUCCAUCUGAAUAAUACCUCCAUAUGCACUAUGCAGGCACGACCGGUCAUCACUCUAGCAUAUACUCUAGCAUAUACGGCCUCCAUCCAGCUCCACAAAAAGUGGCGAAACCGGUGCAAUAUGCCAGUAGCACGUGGAUCAUGCCGAGCGGCGCUGUCAGGUGUUUCCACUAUGGGUUACAUAAUCGGCUACAAAGAGGCCAGUGUUCUAGUAAAUGAAGUUAGCAAUGAUAGCGAAGAAUGUUAGUGUAUGUUACGAAGUCAA